rnacentral:rRNA from 1 species
CAACGGGUGAGUAACACGUGGGCAACCUGCCCAAAGAGGGGGAUAACACUUGGAAACAGGUGCUAAUACCGCAUAACCAUAGUUACCGCAUGGUAGCUAUGUAAAAGGUGGCUAUGCUACCGCUUUUGGAUGGGCCCGCGGCGCAUUAGCUAGUUGGUGGGGUAAAGGCUUACCAAGGCAAUGAUGCGUAGCCGAACUGAGAGGUUGAUCGGCCACAUUGGGACUGAGACACGGCCCAAACUCCUACGGGAGGCAGCAG